GAUGAACGCUGGCGGCGUGCCUAAUACAUGCAAGUCGAGCGAACGGACGAGAAGCUUGCUUCUCUGAUGUUAGCGGCGGACGGGUGAGUAACACGUGGAUAACCUACCUAUAAGACUGGGAUAACUUCGGGAAACCGGAGCUAAUACCGGAUGAUAUUUUGAACCGCAUGGUUCAAAAGUGAAAGACGGUCUUGCUGUCACUUAUAGAUGGAUCCGCGCUGCAUUAGCUAGUUGGUAAGGUAACGGCUUACCAAGGCAACGAUGCAUAGCCGAGCUGAGAGGUGGAUCGGCCACAUUGGAACUGAGACACGGUCCAGACUCCUACGGGAGGCAGCAGUGGGGAAUCUUCCGCAAUGGGCGAAAGCCUGACGGAGCAACGCCGCGUGAGUGAUGAAGGUCUUCGGAUCGUAAAACUCUGUUAUUAGGGAAGAAUAUAUGUGUAAGUAACUGUGCACAUCUUGACGGUACCUAAUCAGAAAGCCACGGCUAACUACGUG
rnacentral:rRNA from 1 species